GACGAACGCUGGCGGCGUGCUUAACACAUGCAAGUCGAACGGAAAGGCCCUGCUUGCAGGGUACUCGAGUGGCGAACGGGUGAGUAACACGUGGGUGAUCUGCCCUGCACUUCGGGAUAAGCCUGGGAAACUGGGCCUAAUACCGGAUAGGAGCCAUUUUUAGUGUGAUGGUUGGAAAGUUUUUUCGGUGUAGGAUGAGCUCGCGGCCUAUCAGCUUGUUGGUGGGGUAAUGGCCUACCAAGGCGGCGACGGGUAGCCGGCCUGAGAGGGUGGACGGCCACAUUGGGACUGAGAUACGGCCCAGACUCCUACGGGAGGCAGCAGUGGGGAAUAUUGCACAAUGGGCGCAAGCCUGGUGCAGCGACGCCGCGUGGGGGAUGACGGCCUUCGGGUUGUAAACUCCUUUCGCUAGGGACGAAGCUUUUUGUGACGGUACCUAGAUAAGAAGCACCGGCUAACUACGUG
rnacentral:rRNA from 1 species